rnacentral:lncRNA from 1 species
CGAAUUGCAUCAAACCAACCCUUGUAAAACCCUCCACGACCUUCCCUCUAUCCAUUCCAUCUCAAAUUUGGAGAUAUUUGGCCUUGAAAAUGGAGGAACACGCAAGGAGGGGUGUGGCGGCUUUGGCUUCGAAUCACCUAAUCCCGAAGCAAUUUCUUUCAAUUGCCACCACUCAUGGCAUCCUCUUGAGGCCUAGAACAAAGCCCAAGUAUUAGUUGGAGCAUCGGAGUUGAUUUGAGGACGAAUUGGAACUCACCCAAUUAUAGGGUUUCACACGGGUUUGAGCAAAUUGGAGCCUUUCCAGGCCAAAUUGGCCUUGACCUCAGGUAUAAAGUUUACUCUACUCAUUUAGAUCUUCAUUUCUGUAUUUUUUGAGAAUUUUUUGAAAUAGUUGGAUUUUCCGGCGAGCCGGGGCGGCCAACCGCCACCCGCGGCGGCGCGUGGCCAGUGGCCCGCCAAUGUCAUUAUUAGCAUGUGUUUAAUGUUCUAGGUUCAGUUUUGAUAAUUGAUUGACGUAAAUUGAGUAAUUGAACCUAAGUUCGUUACGAUUCGUGGUUAAGUGAAAAUGUGAAUUGACGAUCCGACCGUUGGAUCGUCACCAAACUUUGAUACGUUGUAAUACGUAAUAUUUGAGGAUUAUAGGAACUUACGGAUUGGGAAUCCGAUUUACGGAUCUUCUGAAAUUGGAGUUGUAAGUUCAUAAAAUAGAAUGUUAACCGUCACAUGGUUUUGACAAUUGACGGAGAUCCGACCGUUGGAUGGUAAGGGAAUUUUAGUUUGUUGUUCUAGAGAUAUAUUGUGGACCUUUGGAAGUUAUGGAUUGGAAAUCUGAGUUGCAGAUCUUCCGGAUCGAACUACGUAGUGACGUGUUUUAUAUAAGUUUUAUAUUCUAUCGAUAUGAUUUCUGAGGUUUGAUUUGAUGAUUGUUCUAGGCGCCGAUCGUCAUGACACCUUGAUGUGUUGUGCUAGGGAGUUGUAGGGCGAACUCCAGGUGAGUGGGCAGUUUUGUUUUCCGUAUAUACCUAUAUAAAUGAGAUUUUUCCCAGAAAAUCAAUUUAAGUGAAAUGCGAUAUGAAAUGCCAUGCAAAAUAUAUGCCUAUUUAUUUAUGCAUUAGUAAUUGCAUACAUGUAUGAUUGGUGCUGCGGACGCACAGAUAAGUGCCAGGUAAGUUCAUAAAUUUAAUUAUGUAAUUGUGAAGUUGAUAUGAUGGAAAGCUCAUAAACCUGCACUAGGGUGAUUGUGAUUUGGUAGAGAUGAUUCAGGCUUGUACAUAUAUAGUCACCCCCGCACCAUAUGCUCACAAUUGGAUCCAAUUUAGGUGCCCAGUCUUGUCGUAUAGACCACUAGAGGUGGUUCUAAUUCGUAGGUGACUAGCGAUUUAUCGCAUAGCUAUCAGGAGAGGAUAGUGUGAGCAUAACUAUAUUCGCCCAGUCGUACAGACCUUUCCAGGGGUUCCAACUCGUGUGCAGUGUAGUGCCAUACAGGUCACUUGCGAUGACUCCGGCUAGAUUGAUUGAUGAGAUUGAUUAUGAGCUAUAGUUUCAGCCGUACAGGCCACUAUAGGUGGAUCCAGUUGUCAUAUUAUUUUUCAUGAGCUACUUAUAUGUUUUGUUGAGAUAUAUUUUGGCAUGGCAUAUAAUUCACAUAUCACUACUUCUGAGUAUGGUUUUGAGACAAGUAUACGUAUUACAUAUUUUUGGGAAAGUAUACGGGUUUUACAGCGAGGGGUUAGCGUUUUGAUAAUGAGAUAAUUUUCGAAAAACUUUGUUUUGCUAACCCACUCAACUUUGUUUUGCGCCUCUCCAGGUUCAAGAUAGUAGAGCUUUGGUGGCCAUGAGGAAUCCAACGGUGUUCUGACAGAAUUCAUAAAAGUAAGACUCACCCUCGGGUGUUACAUCUUAGUAAUUGUAUCUAUAAACCUUCCGAACUGUGUAAAU